UCUGAUUAUUGCCAGUGCCUUCUAUUGAGA
rnacentral:piRNA from 1 species